UUCUCAUACGAUCACCAAUGUUAAGUAACAUUGAGCCUGGUCAGUACCUAGAUGAGUGACCUCUUGGGAAUACCAGGUGCUGUAAG